UACGUAGGGUGCAAGCGUUGUCCGGAAUUAUUGGGCGUAAAGAGCUCGUAGGCGGUUUGUCGCGUCUGCUGUGAAAACGCGAGGCUCAACCUCGCGCCUGCAGUGGGUACGGGCAGACUAGAGUGCGGUAGGGGAGAUUGGAAUUCCUGGUGUAGCGGUGAAAUGCGCAGAUAUCAGGAGGAACACCGGUGGCGAAGGCGGGUCUCUGGGCAACAACUGACGCUGAGGAGCGAAAGCGUGGGGAGCGAACAGG
rnacentral:rRNA from 1 species